UGACCGGUUCUGGGCUUCGAUGUGUCC
rnacentral:piRNA from 1 species